AUUGAACGCUGGCGGCAGGCCUAACACAUGCAAGUAGGGCGAGUGGCGGAAGGGUGAGUAAUGUAUGGGGAUCUGCCUGAUGGAGGGGGAUAACUACCGGAAACGGUAGCUAAUACCGCAUACCCUCAGAUGAACCCAGAUGGGAUUAGCUAGUUGGUGAGGUAACGGCUUACCUAGCCGACGAUCCCUAGCUGGUCUGAUAGGAUGAUCAGCAACAUGUGGACUGAGCCACGGCCCAGCCUCCUAAGGGAGGCAGCAGUGGGGAAUAUUGCACAAUGGGCGCAAGCCUGAUGCAGCCAUGCCGCGUGUAUGAAGAAGGCCUUCGGGUUGUAAAGUACUUUCAGUCGGGAGGCGUUACCGACAGAAGAAGCACCGGCUAACUCCGUGCCAGCAGCCGCGGUAAUAC
rnacentral:rRNA from 1 species